GUGUAUUCAACAUCAAGGAGUCAUUUCAUGGUUUCCUCACAGACCUCACGCUUAACAUUAAGUUGUGCACUUUUAAUGAAAUUGGGGAUUCAUUGAUUUGUGACCAGAUCGUUUUUGGAACCAACGACAAGAAUAUUAAGCAAGCUGUUCAGAGGAGAGUGCCAGUGACACUUCGUGGCAGCCUGAAUAAGGAGGUGGCCAGGAGGACAAAGUUUGGGGUCAUUGAACAUGUGGAACAACUGACUCCACCACCUGUGGAAGGGAAACUAAUGAUGUAGCUCUGCAGUCAACACGGGCAGAUUCAGGGUCCAGCAAAGGGGAAGCUGAGCUA
ensembl:lncRNA